rnacentral:rRNA from 1 species
AAAAACUGAGGUGGUAUACGAUGGUUCCGCGUCUGAAUAGCUAGUUGGUGGGGUAAAAGCCUACCAAGGCAACGAUCAGUAGCCGGCCUGAGAGGGUGAACGGCCACAUUGGGACUGAGACACGGCCCAAACUCCUACGGGAGGCAGCAGUGGGGAAUAUUGCACAAUGGGGGAAACCCUGAUGCAGCGACGCCGCGUGAGUGAAGAAGUAUUUCGGUAUGUAAAGCUCUACCAGCAGGGAAGAAAUACUGACCAUAGGGUCAGCAGACGGUACUUGACUAAGAAGCCCCGGCUAACUACGUGCCAGCAGCCGCGGUAAUACGUAGGGGGCAAGCGUUAUCCGGAUUUACUGGGUGUAAAGGGAGCGUAGACGGCAGCGCAAGUCUGAAGUGAAAUGCCAGGGCUUAACCCUGGAACUGCUUUGGAAACUGUGCAGCUAGAGUGCAGGAGAGGUAAGUGGACUUUCUAGUGUAGCGGUGAAAUGCGUAGAUAUUAGGAGGAACACCAGUGGCGAAGGCGGCUUACUGGACUGUAACUGACGUUGAGGCUCGAAAGCGUGGGGAGCAAACAGGAUUAGAUACCCUGGUAGUCCACGCUGUAAACGAUGAUUACUAGGUGUUGGGGGACCAAGG